UACGGGGGGGGCAAGCGUUGUUCGGAAUUACUGGGCGUAAAGGGCUCGUAGGCGGCCAACUAAGUCGGAUGUGAAAUCCCCAGGCUCAACUGGGGAGGGUCACGCGAUACUGAGCGACUCGAAGGCAGGAGAGGGUAGUGGAAUUCCCGGUGUAGUGGUGAAAUGCGUAGAUAUCGGGAGGAACACCAGUGGCGAAGGCGACUACCUGGCCUGUUUCUUGACGCUGAGGCGCGAAAGCUAGGGGAGCAAACGGG
rnacentral:rRNA from 1 species